GGCGGAGGCAGUGGCACCAAGCGACCAUGCAGCGAGCCGGCGAGGGCGCGUCCAGAUACAGAGAAUGGAAAGGUGUGUGUGAAAUGGAAGAGCUGAAACCUUGAAAGUAUGACCCAGAGCAGGAGACAAGUGACUGAUUAUCAGAUGGUACAGAACCACGUGGAACAGCAGUGCUACUGACCUGACGUAAAUGUCUAAUUCUCUCAGUCUCUUCCAUCAUUUGAUUCUCACAAGACUCUUUGUUCUUGGACAAUUGAAUGUGUCUUGUGGGGGGGGGAGGUGGGGGACUAUUAUUCAAGAGGACAUUGUGUAUGAAGACAGGAACUAUUAAGCGCUGUGUGAGGAAGAGCAUGUGGAAGGUACUGAAAGUGGUAAAAGAUUUGCCAACAGUCCUGGAAUAAAGAAAAGUUAAGAGUUUAUUGAUACACUGCAAGAGAGCACAGAGUGAGUUCCAAGGGCAGACUGCACCAUCAAGGAGAAAGGAACACCUUUAUUUUGUCAAGAAUUACACAUCAAAGGAGCAAAAUUAACAAUGGUCCACUAUUUGUGUCCUCACAGAAAGCCUUAAGACUUGAAAUAGGGACACGUGUAUCAACUCUAAGGAAAGGGUCACAGGCCAUUGGU